CAAUAGCGUAUAUUAAAGUUGUUGCAGUUAAAAAGCUCGUAGUUGGAUUUCGGGGCAGCCUGGCUGGUCCGCCGCAAGGCGAGUACUGGUCAGCCGCCCUUCCUCUCGAAAGCCCCGACUGCUCUUCGUUGCAGUGGUCGGGUAGUUCGGGACGUUUACUUUGAAAAAAUUAGAGUGUUCAAGGCAGGCCUACGCCUGAAUACAUUAGCAUGGAAUAAUGGAAGAGGACCUCGGUCCUAUUUUGUUGGUUUCCAGGGCCGAAGUAAUGGUUAAGAGGGACAGUUGGGGGCAUUCGUAUUUAAUUGUCAGAGGUGAAAUUCUCGGAUUUAUGAAAGACGAACAACUGCGAAAGCAUUUGCCAAGGAUGUUUUCAUUAA
rnacentral:rRNA from 1 species